rnacentral:lncRNA from 1 species
GGCACAAGAGGAACAAGCUCUCAUUAUUAGAUACUGCAAGUCAGAAAGCCUAAGAGCUUCCCUAGGCACAGCCCGUCACUCAGUCUGUACAUCUGUAGAAUGGAGAUAAACAACAGCUCCUUUUCUUGUCACAGAGGUGGUAGGAUUAAUAAAACCAAGCUAGGAAUGCAUUUCAAAAUGCACAGAUGAAGUAUAAUAGAAAUCAAGGGUAAAGACUGCUAUUCAGAAAUGCUCUUUCAAAUAUUCCUCAUACUUGGGCAGAUUUCUCUAGAUGCUCAAGGCUUUGUCCACACGUGUAAGAUUUUCAAAGGCCUCUGUGGCAAAAAAAAAAAAAAAAAAAAAAAAAAAAAAAAAAAAAUUCAUUGUUUGAAUUGUAGAACAGAAUAAGACCUCAAACCUUUGCUGACUGUCCAGAGUGUUGUUUCAGAUGCCAUAUAAUAAACAAAACAAAAAGGUAAGAGUCUCUUCAGACUAACAUCACAGAAGCUAGAGGAAGGAACAAGAGUGCUGGAUUAAAAUAUAGCAAUCAUAAAUUCUAUUUUGAUUUCCUAUUUCUUAUUGCUGUCCUUGGAAAAUCAUUUACCUCUCCUCUCCCUCUGCAGUGGGUAGAGAACUGGGCUAGGUUUAGGAUGCCUGGGUUAACACCUAGAUUCAGCCAUGCAAAGGCUCUGCACCCUCAUUUUUAAAAUAUACACUGUGAUUCCUAUACUACAGACUGUUAAAGAGAUGACAAAAAUUAUCAUAAAAAUACUGUCAACGGCAAGCAUUCAAUGUAAGAGGCUAUUAGCAGAAAGUUGCUCUAUCUACUGACUUCUAACUUCAUAAAAACUACACAGAAAUCAUUCUGUUACCAUUUAAAGACAAAAGCCCUGGUCUCACAAAAUAAAUAAGGUAGUCAACAUCCCCACAGAAAUCCACAGUAUGAAUUCUUGAGAAAUGGCAUUACAGGCACAGUUUGUUAGGCAGAUGCAAUACAUGAUCCUGGAAAUCUGUAGUUAGAAGAAAGGGAUGAAAUGGUCAUCUUGUCCACUCCAUUAUGUGGCAAAAGAAAGAUAUGCAAACAGAUGCCGGCCCCAUAAAUGGGCAGACAAAUGACAUAGUUAAGGAGUGUAGCAAGGACAGUAGGUCACACAGUCACACAUUCACACAGAUGGAAACACUGGCGGCGGCGGCAGCAGCAGUAGCAGCAGCAGCAGCCACCUCAGAUCUAAAGAACAAUGAUAAAUAUAACUAAAGGAAUAAAUGAAGUUGGAAUACUGAAGUGCCGCUGGAUGAUCCUGAUAUUGUCUUUUAACUCUGUGAGGAGCAAUACCCAUGUACCACCAGGAUGAAGAAAUAGCAGAACCUGCUGCUAAAUGCCACUGCCUGAAGGCAGAGUUCCCCUAUUAGGAACGAAUGAAUGCCAAGUUGGCUUCUUUCAUGUAAAUUAAUGUGGUGAAAAAAAAAUAAGCAGGUGCCUCUGGAUUAACAACAACUCCCUGUGGACAAUGACCUUUGCCACUGAGAAUACCAAAACAAGAGAAAGUUGUCUCCAACAUAGUCUACCUGACCCCUGCCCGCAAGCCACCCACUAUCUUCUAAACACAGAAGAACAGCAGUAGUAGAAGUGGAUCUGUGAAAAUGGUCCUAUCGAUUUGGUUUUUACUGAGGUGUGGUCUAGUUUGUUUCUCUGUAAAAGGCAGAGGAGUCACAGAAUAUUGCCCAAUUGGUGUCAUAAUGACGUGAGUUGCAACUGACCAGAAUCACUGUUCUUCAAAUUAUGAGACUUAUGAUAUGGAAUUUGCCUACCCACUCCCAAAGCCUGUACUCACCGUCGAUAAUAAUGACAACUAUAAUUGUUACACAUAUUCAAAAGCAUUUUUUAUUUUCUUUUGUUUUAUUUGGUCCUUAGAAAACAAACAUAGAUAAGUAGGUAAUUAUCAUCCUCAUUUGUUAUCUCGACCACAAGGAAAUCACUGAUAUAUAAAACUCCUUUGGUACCUCAGCUUUCCUCUCUUUAAUAGAGGGUUUUACAAAGCUUUAACUGUUCACUGGGCCUGUGUGAAUCCACAUCACUGAGAAUAAAUUGCACAACACUUUCAAAUGCAGAAGGGCUGUGUCUGUGCUUCACAUUCAGCUGCCUUCUCCUUUCCUCUUAUGAAUUACAUUUAAAUGAAUUAUGGCACAACAAGACCUGCCAAGCCUAAACCUAGGAGUGUGUGAAUGAGAGCACCCCAUAAGUAAUAAGCGAUCAGAGCCGCCAGCAGGGCGCAUGGCACCCAGGGCCCUGCACUCCACACUGUCUUCCCAGUGCUGACAGGAAAAUCUUGUGCCAGGAAGAAUCCAUCUCUUCGGAAGACAAGAAGAUCCUAGAACUAGUAGUAGCAAGAGUCUACUGCAAUGAGGAAUGGGGGAGGCAGAGCACAGACAUUCCUCUUUACUGUGUGCAGCCAGUAAAUCUAGUUGUAAAGACAAGUAAACUUGAGUGGUGGGAGAAAUGUUCUCCAUCUGAAAGUCCCGGGGGCUCAGUAAAUGUUUCCUUAUUAAUAAUAGUUUAGAGACGAAGCCUUUUAACUUAGGAACUUUUAGGAGUCAUUUAGGGCAUAAUAUAUUAAAGAAU